AGAGUUUGAUCCUGGCUCAGAACUAACGCUGGCGGCGUGGCUAAGACAUGCAAGUCGAACGGAGUAUAUGAUUGAGUAAUCAUGACUAUAUUUAGUGGCGCAAGGGCGAGGAAUAAAUAGGUAACGUACCCUGAACUCCAGGAUAGCGUCUCGAAAGGGGCAGUAAUACUGGAUAAUAUGAUUUAUUUAAUUUAAAUCAUCAAAGAUUUAUCUGUUUGGGAGCGGCCUAUUUCCCAUCAGCUUGUUGGUAAGGUAACGGCUUACCAAGGCAACGACGGAUAUCGGGACUGAGAGGUUGACCCGACGCAUCGGAACUGAGACACUGUCCGGACCUCCACGGAGGGCUGCAGUAACGAAUAUUGCACAAUGAACGAAAGUUUGAUGCAGCAACGCCGCGUGUAGGAUGAAGCUCCUUGGAGUGUAAACUACUGUCAGGGGUCAGAAAGUGCGCUUAGGCGUAUUGAUCACCCCCAGAGGAAGUCACGGCUAACUUCGUGCCAGCAGCCGCGGUAAUACGAAGGUGGCGAGCGUUGUUCGGAAUUAUUGGGCUUAAAGAGCACGUAGGCGGAUCAGAAAGUGUCUUGUGAAAACCCCCGGCUUAACCGGGGAAUUGCUUGGCAAACUUCUAGAUCUUGAGUCAAGUAGGGGUACAUGGAACUCUUAGUGGAGCGGUGGAAUGCGUAGAUAUUAAGUGGAACGCCAAUGGUGAAGACAGUGUACUGGGCUUGUACUGACGCUGAGGUGCGAAAGCGUGGGGAGCGAACGGGAUUAGAUACCCCGGUAGUCCACGCCGUAAACGAUGUCUACUAGGUUGUGGGAGUUCUGACACCUUCACAGCCGAAGCAAAAGUGUUAAGUAGACCGCCUGGGGAGUACGGUCGCAAGGCUAAAACUCAAAGGAAUUGACGGGGGCUCACACAAGCGGUGGAGCAUGUGGAUUAAUUCGAAACAACGCGCAGAACCUUACCUGGGUUUGACACGUUUGGAUGCCUAUCUGGAAACAGAGUCGGCUGCCUUAGGGUGAAACUUACACAGGUGCUGCAUGGCUGUCGUCAGCUCGUGUCGUGAGAUGUCGGGUUAAGUCCUUUAACGAGCGAAACCCUUACCGUUAGUUGCCAGCGCGUCAUGGCGGGGACUCUAGCGGGACUGCCGGUGUCAAACCGGAGGAAGGCGGGGAUGACGUCAAGUCCUCAUGGCCUUUAUGCCCAGGGCUUCACACGUGCUACAAUGGUAACUACAAAGCGAAGCAAGACCGCGAGGUGGAGCAAAUCGCAAAAAAGUUGCCCCAGUUCGGAUUGCAGGCUGUCAACUCGCCUGCAUGAAGUUGGAAUCGCUAGUAAUCGCGUAUCAGCUAUGACGCGGUGAAUGUGUUCCUGAGCCUUGUACACACCGCCCGUCAAGUGAUGGAAGUCGGGAGCACCCGAAGUCGAAUUGCUAACCUUUUAUUAGGAGGCGUUUGCCGACGGUGAGUUCGAUGACUGGCACUAAGUCGAAACAAGGUA
rnacentral:rRNA from 1 species